GAACCUGGAUUCUCCGAUAUUCGACGAAAAUGAGAAAAUGUUCUACGGAAAAGUGUCGCAUUUCAUGUCCCCGGUGGAAAUUUCGCUCCAACCAAAAUAUCUGAGCACCGCCCGAAAAUCGAUAAUGGAACAGUUGAAUGCCACGUAUCAAAGUACACAAGUUGCUGAGUUUCAAGAAGAUCAG
rnacentral:sRNA from 1 species